rnacentral:lncRNA from 10 species
UGAGGGCGAAACAGCAGGCAGGACUGGGUGGAGACGUUCGGGGACGUGGCAACUGGAGUUUCUUCUCCGUAUAUUUCGGCAUUCAGUUCCUUUUUUUUUUUGUUUUAACUCAGGAAAAAAUCUCAAUUGCGUUUAGUAUUUUGAAAGCCACUUUAUUGCUUCCCGAGCCUCAGUCAUGUGUGGUGGGAGGCUGCUGUGGGUGGCACCUGGGGCGUCCACGGCCGCCAAGGCGGGAGGACGUCAGGCCCUGCUUGCUCCCACCCCUUCCAGGUGAGAGCUCCCGGGCACGCCCGUCGUUGGCUCUUCGUCCUCUUGGUGUUCUUCCCUGUUGCUUCAAAUCAGGUUCCUGUCUCAAAAAUCCGAAAAAGAAAUCCUCCCAAAUGACUCUGUGCCCGACGCUCCGUUAAGGCAUCGUGCUAGGCGUUCUCAAACUCGUGAAAUGACUACACUGCACAGGUUAACCUCAUUGCUACUCUUCCCCUUGCCUCCUAAUUCUCUGGUUAAACUUCCGCCCCCGAGGUUUCUAGAAAUCCCUGAGCUGGAAUGCGCUGCCUUCAUUAAGAGGGUGUUCUGCUUCCGUCUGCUCACAUUCAUCUAGUAAGCCCUCUCGUUAAAGAGGAGGCAGCACACCGAGGCCUGUCUAGAACUUCUUUCAUUUAACCAACAGUGAAUAUCUAAUCUACAAGAAACUGGAGCCGUGGCAGUUUAGGAGCCUGCCAAGGUUGCAUCCCUGGGAGCUUAUUUUCUAUUGUGGGAGACAGGAAAAGAACAAGUGAAUCAACUGUGAAAUUAAAUAAUUCAAACUUAAAGCUGUUGGAACUUUAAAUUAUUCUGAGCCUUGCGAAGAAUGUGGCGAUGGGGCCUGAGUCCCAUGGCAUACAGCUGCAAUGUCUGCCUUGUUUUUUCCUAUAAUCAGGAAGACCAAACAGAGACAGAGGCCAGCUGCCAGAAGCUUCUCACUCCGUGGAGACCUUGGAGUCGAGGAUGAAAUGUCUUACAACUGUGGGGAGACCUUGGCUUUUCCAAAGCCUACCAGGGUCCAGGUGAGAGCAGUGGUAACCCACAAGACUUGGAAGCUAAGGCCCAGAGAGGAGGAGAAACUUGAUCAAAGUCAAUCAGACAAUGCAGAAUCGAGAAAAGUACCUGGACCUCUAUGCCCAUGCUUCUAGCAGCCAGCCUCCUAAAAUACCUCUAGUUGAAGCCAAAGUUAGAAUCCUUCUACGAAACUACAGGAUUAAAAUGGAAUGGUUACAUGACCCAGGCUUGACCAAUCAGAUCAUCCAAACCCUUUGCCACAGUGAUUGGUCCAGGGAUACAUGCAUGAGCCAGCUCAGGUAAAUGAGACUCAAUUAUAAGAAUUUUGUUAGCGCAAUUGGGAAAAAGAAGUUUUCUUUCCAUGAGAACUAUCAGCUAUAAGAAUGUUGGAUGCUUCCAUCUGCUGGAGUCCAUGAAGAAGGUCCAUGAAAAUGAAGCCAGCACAACAACACAGAGCUAAGACAUACAAAGAGAUGGAGAUUAAAUUGAAUGGAACUUUUAAGCCCCUACAUGCCCUUGAAGCCAGAUAUCCCUGAACUUUUAAUUUAUAUUAGUUGAUAAAGUCCUUCUUUAGCUUAAGCCAAUUUGAAUUAGAGUAUUUUUCACUUGGGGUCCAAAAGAGCUCUCAAUACAAAAGUCUGACUGAGUGCAUGAUGUGCUGGUUUCAACCUCAAGGGAACAGGGAAAGGGAAAGAAAGAGGCAGAGGUUGUGAACAGGACAGUAGAAGGUGGUCAGGAGACAAAUAUCUGGACUCAACUUUGUCCCUACUGUGUGGCCUUGAAUAGUGAGUUAACCACUCCGAGCCUCAGUUUCCCCAUCUGGAAAAAAAAGUUAGUGGACAGUCACUAGUUCUCAGACAGAACUCUGUAGCAGCGAGAGGGUAAUGGGGAUUGAGAGUCCCAGACUUGCAUUCUGAGGGACUAGCUCUCCUCUUAUCUAUAUCAUAUACCAGGUUUUCUUGUAAGGUUUUGUUAGAAUGGGUCUCACUGUUAAAAUGGAUUAGCUGAUCAUUUCAGUUCUAUUUAUAUUAAAGUCUAAAUUGAAUCAAGGCUCAGCUGGGGCCCAGUAAGAAUGUAGUGCCUGGUUAAUAAUAUUUUCUACUCUAUGAUAGGAGUUGGCCAGAAGCCAAGGUCAAAAACUCAAUCCCUGGAGGGUUUAUUUGCUUUCUGCAGACAUAAAAAAUUGUUAAUAACAAUGAUCUGCAUCCCCAAUCUUGAGAGCUGUCUUAGAGAUGUGGGUCAUUGAUCACAGAAGGGGCUGGGAAAAGGAAUGUGGAUGAUUCCAAAUAGUCAUUAGCUCUGCCUUAAAUGCCAAUACAAACACUACUGCCAAUGCUCAAGGCAAGCAACCUCUUCAUAGCUAGAACACAGAGGGUGGUGUGCUUGAAGGCUUUUGUUUCUCCUCAAGACAGUGUAGAAAAAGCUGAGAAAACAAAGAGCACUUGUUUCACAAUUAACUGCACAACACCUGAUGUAUAUCCACAGUCCUCUAAAUUAAUAUGGAUUCGCUUUUCUUUAUAAAGACAACAUACACAUUGUAGUGGAAAUCGGAUGGGAGGAUAAUUUUUAUGAAAGCAUAUAACAGUAUUUUUAUAAAAUAUAAAUUAUCAUUACAGUAAAAUAUAUUAACUUCAAGGCAAGUUUUGACACUGUAUGCAAGUUUAAAGUAUUUCAAAUUUUUAAAAAGUGUAUCUUAACAAAUAAAUUUUAGCACCAAUUGCCAGAAUUGUUGUCCACCACUAUAGUCAAAACAAUUUUCUUUUCUUUAUUUCAACUAAAAAUUGUGAAUGGGACUAAAGUCUUUAUGCAAAUAUAUACUCCAAUAAUAAUAUUAAUCUUGCCAACAGUAGCUGAAUAUUUAAUUAACUUUAACAAACAUGUUGAAAGAUAAUAAACUAAAAAAACUAUUUUUCCUUAUAGUCUCUGUAUAACUAGGUGCUUUCUCAUUAGAAAGCUUAUUUUUUCAAAAGUAUAUAUAACAUAGGUAAUUUAUAUUAAUAAAAAAUAAAAAGUUGCAAAUUUCUUGAGGUGUAAUUUCUCAUGUUGAUUAACUUCUGAUCUCUAUCAUUUUGCUUACAUGUACCAUAGAUACACAAAAACCAGAUGGGGGGCAGGGUAAUCAAUCUUAGGAGAGGGCAAUAGUUAAGUCAGACUAGGCAGAGUCAAGACAAGAGGCAGGCAGAGGGUUAGUUGAGGGCAAGUUAUGAAUGCCUCAGAACACAUCUCAGGAUUUGGAAACAAGCAGUAGUCUGGUCAAAUCCAAACUGGGAAACACAGAUGGCG